AUUGAACGCUGGCGGCAUGCCUUACACAUGCAAGUCGAACGGCAGCACGGGAGCAAUCCUGGUGGCGAGUGGCGAACGGGUGAGUAAUAUAUCGGAACGUGCCCGGUCGUGGGGGAUAACGUAGCGAAAGCUACGCUAAUACCGCAUACGAUCUACGGAUGAAAGCGGGGGAUCGCAAGACCUCGCGCGAUUGGAGCGGCCGAUAUCAGAUUAGGUAGUUGGUGAGGUAAAGGCUCACCAAGCCAACGAUCUGUAGCUGGUCUGAGAGGACGACCAGCCACACUGGAACUGAGACACGGUCCAGACUCCUACGGGAGGCAGCAGUGGGGAAUUUUGGACAAUGGACGCAAGUCUGAUCCAGCCAUUCCGCGUGCAGGAUGAAGGCCCUCGGGUUGUAAACUGCUUUUGUACGGAACGAAAGGUUUCUAUUAAUACUAGGAGCUCAUGACGGUACCGUAAGAAUAAGCACCGGCUAACUACGUGCCAGC
rnacentral:rRNA from 1 species